GAUGAACGCUGGCGGCGUGCCUAAUACAUGCAAGUCGAGCGAACAGACGAGGAGCUUGCUCCUCUGACGUUAGCGGCGGACGGGUGAGUAACACGUGGAUAACCUACCUAUAAGACUGGGAUAACUUCGGGAAACCGGAGCUAAUACCGGAUAAUAUAUUGAACCGCAUGGUUCAAUAGUGAAAGACGGUUUUGCUGUCACUUAUAGAUGGAUCCUCGCCGCAUUAGCUAGUUGGUAAGGUAACGGCUUACCAAGGCAACGAUGCGUAGCCGACCUGAGAGGGUGAUCGGCCACACUGGAACUGAGACACGGUCCAGACUCCUACGGGAGGCAGCAGUAGGGAAUCUUCCGCAAUGGGCGAAAGCCUGACGGAGCAACGCCGCGUGAGUGAUGAAGGUCUUCGGAUCGUAAAACUCUGUUAUUAGGGAAGAACAAAUGUGUAAGUAAAUAUGCACGUCUUGACGGUACCUAAUCAGAAAGCAACGGCUAACUACGUG
rnacentral:rRNA from 1 species